AGAGAAAGUGUUGGAAUUCAAGGAUUUGAUCAAGCAAAGGUGGUGAGCCAUUAGAUACGGGUAAAAGACUGUACCUGCGGAUUGAAAAUAGGAGUAUUUCUACUCCUAAUACUUGGUGGGGGUUUCCGUGGACUGCCUGUGAGAGGGGCACGGUAACCUAAUUAUAUACCUACCUCCGAGGGGAGAUGUUGGAUGAAGUAUUUCCUGAGGUAAGAUUUGAGUGCACCUCACGUUCGGGCCACCACGUGAGAGU